rnacentral:rRNA from 1 species
AUUGAACGCUGGCGGCAUGCCUUACACAUGCAAGUCGAACGGCAGCGCGGGAGCAAUCCUGGCGGCGAGUGGCGAACGGGUGAGUAAUACAUCGGAACGUGCCCAAUCGUGGGGGAUAACGCAGCGAAAGCUGUGCUAAUACCGCAUAAGAUCUACGGAUGAAAGCAGGGGACUCGCAAGAGCCUUGCGCGACUGGAGCGGCCGAUGGCAGAUUAGGUAGUUGGUGAGGUAAAGGCUCACCAAGCCUUCGAUCUGUAGCUGGUCUGAGAGGACGACCAGCCACACUGGGACUGAGACACGGCCCAGACUCCUACGGGAGGCAGCAGUGGGGAAUUUUGGACAAUGGGCGCAAGCCUGAUCCAGCCAUGCCGCGUGCAGGAUGAAGGCCUUCGGGUUGUAAACUGCUUUUGUACGGAACGAAAAGGUUCUUUCUAAUAAAGAGAGCUCAUGACGGUACCGUAAGAAUAAGCACCGGCUAACUACGUGCCAGCAGCCGCGGUAAUACGUAGGGUGCAAGCGUUAAUCGGAAUUACUGGGCGUAAAGCGUGCGCAGGCGGUUAUGUAAGACAGUUGUGAAAUCCCCGGGCUCAACCUGGGAACUGCAUCUGUGACUGCAUAGCUAGAGUACGGUUGAGGGGGAUGGAAUUCCGCGUGUAGCAGUGAAAUGCGUAGAUAUGCGGAGGAACACCGAUGGCGAAGGCAAUCCCCUGGACCUGUACUGACGCUCAUGCACGAAAGCGUGGGGAGCAAA